AUCUAGCCGACGAGUCCCAAAUAGGACGAAACGCGUGUCCUGGAU
rfam:Schistosoma margrebowiei strain Zambia genome assembly, scaffold: SMRZ_scaffold0001977